rnacentral:rRNA from 1 species
UACGUAGGGUGCGAGCGUUAAUCGGAAUUACUGGGCGUAAAGCGUGCGCAGGCGGUUGUGCAAGACAGAUGUGAAAUCCCCGGGCUUAACCUGGGAACUGCAUCUGAUACUGGAUGGCUUGAAUCCGGGAGAGGGAUGCGGAAUUCCAGGUGUAGCGGUGAAAUGCGUAGAUAUCUGGAGGAACACCGGUGGCGAAGGCGGCAUCCUGGACCGACACUGACGCUGAGGAGCGAAAGCCAGGGGAGCAAACGGGG